GGAAGCUGGGGUCUCAUAGGUUCUAUAGCAAUUUAUUGUAGAGUUCUAAGAGGAACAUCUUUGCAUAUGAAGACUGAGAAACACACUGAACAGCACUGGAAACUGUAAAUGGUUUUUGUAGAAGUUUUGAAAUUCCUCUUUGAUGUCUUCCUGUUUGGAAGAGCCUGAGUCACAGAGGCAAAAGCAGUUCCUGUUGGUGGAAAAUGGUGAAGCUGGAGUGGGCCUGGAAGAAGGAGCAGAAGUAGGUCAUGACUGUUGUGGCCUUGACAACACCACCAUAAGGGCCCCCCAUCUCUCCUUGAACUUGGUACACAUGUUCACAACUUGACACAAUAGUGCCAUACAGUUUGAAAGAGAUAAACAUACCAGGUGAUUAAAAAAGAACCAUGCAAAAAUUAAGAAAGAUUAAUUUUGCACCAUUCUUUUUUAAUCACCUGGUAAAACAUCUAUAGAAAACCUUUCUUAACCCACCACACUGGAAAUUUUUCAGCCAGACUGUAACAUCCAUUUUUAAGCAGGUUAGUCAAGUAUAUGAUG